AGGUGCGAUCAUUCCAGCACUAAUGCCUCGGAUCCCAUUUGAACUCCGUAAUGAAGCGUGUGUGGGUGAGAAUAAGACUAGGAUGGGUGAUCUCCUGGGAAGUCCUCAUGUUGCCACCC
rnacentral:rRNA from 1 species